GGGGAGAAACACUAGUACACUUCAACCGCCAUACUGUAUACAUGUGCCGGAGCUACGCAUGUCGACAUCAUAUAUAAUUUAUAUUCGUUUGAUAUAAUUUAAAAAUGUGCACAAAUAUCAAAUUUGAAAUACAUCCUACGUUAUAUUCGCGAGUGUUAAAAUAUAUAUUAUUUAUUUGUUUUAUUUGUGAAUGUUUUAAGUACGUUUAUUUGCGCAGUGAAAUAGUAGCAGUUUCGCGCGUUUUUUUGCAAUUGUUUGUAGUUACACGUUUAUUUACGAAUAUUCAGUCCACACAUUUCUACGUAAAUUAUUCGUAUAUAAUUCGUUUAUUAUAUAUAUAAUCAUUUUAUUUGUAAAUGUUGAUACGUUUCAUCAUUGGACAAUCAAUCAAGUGGACGAUAUAAUAUUCUAUAAAGUUCUUCAAGGAAAGAAAAAUUCAAUAUUGCCAUGAAGCCAUGAAAAAUAAUAAAAUUUGAUUUUUUGAAGUUUUGAUUUGAAAUACGGAACCAUGUAAUGUUAGCCAAUCAGGAAGCUGCUAAGAUUCAGUCUCAAAAUGAAUCACUGCGCAUCAUUAUGCGCAUGACGUCAGUCUUAUCUUUUGCACAGAAUAAAUAGUUCGACUGAUAGAAUUUAUUUUAAAAUUUUAGAAAAAGGAUUUUCAAUAUGGAAAUCAUAAUUUUAUUUUA